GAAGCUGACCAGACAGUCGCCGCUUCGUCGUCGUCGUCCUUCGGGGGAGACGGGCGGAGGGGAGGAAAGUCCGGGCUCCAUAGGGCAGGGUGCCAGGUAACGCCUGGGGGGGAAGCCCACGACCAGUGCAACAGAGAGCAAACCGCCGAUGGCCCACGCACGUGGGAUCAGGUAAGGGUGAAAGGGUGCGGUAAGAGCGCACCGCGCGGCUGGUAACAGUCCGUGGCACGGUAAACUCCACCCGGAGCAAGGCCAAAUAGGGGUUCAUAAGGUACGGCCCGUACUGAACCCGGGUAGGCUGCUUGAGCCAGUGAGCGAUUGCUGGCCUAGAUGAAUGACUGUCCACGACAGAACCCGGCUUAUCGGUCAGUUUCACCU
rnacentral:RNase_P_RNA from 2 species